UGUACAUCGUAGACGUGUUUCCUCGAGAGAAGUCUGAAGAAGGACGUGCCAAGCUGCGAUAAGCUACGGGACCCGCACGGAGGGGAAGAACGUAGGAUUUCCGAAUGGGAAUCCCCACCGCAAUUGCUUCGCGCAAUGGGGAACGUCGAGAAUUGAAACAUCUUAGUAUCGACAGGAAAAGAAAGCAACUCGCGAUGUCGUUAGUAACGGCGAGUGAACCCGACACAGUCCAAACCGAAGCCCUCACGGGCAAUGUGGUGUUCGGGCUGACUUUCAGCACCAGACAAUCUACGAGAAAUCUCCUGGAAUGGAGUACGAGACAGGGUGAUAGUCCCGUACUGUAGGUGAGUACGGUGUGUGUCAGUACCAGAGUAGCGGGGAUUGGAUAUUCCUCGUGAAUGUUGCGGGCAUUGACCGCAAAGACUCAAUACUCCUUGAGACCGAUAGCGAACAAGUAGCGUGAGCGAACGCUGAAAAGCACCCCAAGAAGGGAGGUGCAAUAGGGCGUGAAAUCAGUUGGCGAUAGAACGACAGGGCACGAAAGGUCCGACACAUAAUGAAUCAGGUGCGAACCUGUAGUAAGCUGUGUUGGAAGCCGGUGUUCUGUCGUACGUUUUGAAAAACGA
rnacentral:ncRNA from 1 species